UUAUCAGACUUGUAGCAAAAUUGUUCUAACAAGUCUGAUACAGUCAUGAUAUAGCAAGAAUGUUACAAGGUUGAUGACACAAGGUUGUAACAAUAUUGUUAUAUCAUAACUGUAUCGGACGUGUUGGAACAACCUUGUAACAAGUCUGAUAA